rnacentral:rRNA from 1 species
GUGCCAGCAGCCGCGGUAAUACGUAGGUGGCAAGCGUUGUCCGGAUUUACUGGGCGUAAAGGAUGUGUAGGCGGAUAUUUAAGUGAGAUGUGAAAUCCCCGGGCUUAACUUGGGGGCUGCAUUUCAAACUGGAUGUCUAGAGUGCAGGAGAGGAAAGCAGAAUUCCUAGUGUAGCGGUGAAAAGCGUAGAGAUUAGGAAGAAAACCAGUGGCGAAAGCGGCUUUAUGGACUGUAACUGAUGCGGAGGCAUGAAAGCGGGGGGAGCAAACAGGAUUAGAUUCCCUGGUAGUCCACG